rnacentral:tRNA from 1 species
UCCUCAAUAGCUCAGUUGGUAGAGCAUUCGGCUGUUAACCGAAGGGUCCUUGGUUCGAGUCCAAGUUGGGGAG